rnacentral:lncRNA from 1 species
UCCCACACCAGUCUCUCCAAUUCAGAAGAGAAACAAAAGAAUUUGUUCGAAGAAAUCACUUGUUUGGAAAUAUUUCAGUACAGGUUUUAGGGGUCAGGAUCCAAUAGCAACAUGCAAUCAUUGUGGGCAGAUUUAUUCAUGCGACCAAUCAACUCAUGGAACAAGCACCCUAUGGUACCGUUUAAGGAACUUAUGCCCUGAAGAUCCACUCAAAGGUCAAGGCAAUGUAAGAAAAAACCAAGGAACACCAAAGCAUUCUUACGGUGUUGAAGACUGUCGCAAAGCACUUGCUAAUAUGGUUAUAAUUGAUGAGAUGCCAUUCACAGUAGCUGAAGGUGUAGGGUUCAGAAGAUAUUCCAAAGUGUUACAACCCAAGUUUGAGCCACCAUCUAGAAUCACAGUUGCAAGGGAUUGCAUACAGCGAUAUAUUGAAGAAAAGCCCAAGUUAAAGAAGAUUUUAAAGAAUCAUAGAAUCUGCCUAACAACGGAUACUUGGACGUCAAAGCAAAAUUUGUGUUACAUGACUCUAACUGCCCACUGGAUAGAUGACCAAUGGAAUUUGCAGAAAAGGAUUCUUAACUUUUGUUCAGUUGCAGAUCAUAAGGGAGAAACUCUUGGAAAAAGAGUUGAAGAAUGUUUGCUGGAAUGGGGUAUUGACUGCAUAUUCACAAUGACAGUUGAUAAUGCAAGUUCUAAUGACAAAAUGAUCAAGUACUUGAUGGGUGUGUGCAAAGAUUUGGAAGGGAGUUGUGUUAAAGCAUAAAUUCCUUCAUGUAAGGUGUUGUGCCCACAUAGUAAACUUGGUUGUAAAGAGUGGAUUAGAAGAGCACAAUGAAUCUAUCGACAAAAUCAGGACAGCUGUUAGAUUUGUGAGAUCUUCUCCGUCAAGAUUGAAGGUUGUCAAAAAAUGUGCAGAAUUAGAGAAAAUCUCAAGCAAAAGUCUUUUGUCCUUGGAUAUAGAGACAAGAUGGAAUGCUACCUACCUUAUGUUGGAGAGUGCUGAAAAGUUUGAAAAGGCUUUUGCAAGACUAGAGAGAGAUUGUAAGCCAUUCAAAGCUUUCUUUCCUAAUAGUAACCCUCCUAAUGCACAUGACUGGGUAUCAGCAAGGCGCAUAUUGUCUUUCCUGAAACUAUUUGAAAAGGUGACAACACGUCUUUCAGCUUCUUUACAUGUUACAUCAGCCAUUGUAUUUCAUGACAUAAUGCUAAUGCUUGCAAAACUGGAUGAGAUUGCUUUAGCCGAUGAUCCAAUAUUAUCUUCAAUGGCAUCUUUCAUGAAACUAAAAUUUCAGAAGUAUUGGGAAGAAGAGGGAAAUCUCAACUACUUGUUGUUUAUAGCUGUAAUCUUAGAUCCAAGAUACAAGCUAAAAUAUUUGACAUUUUGCUUAGAAAUUUUGUAUGGGUCAGAUAAGGGAAAGCAAUUAUCUGAGAGAACUCAGUUAGCUCUUAAUGAAUUAUUUGGGUUCUAUACUCAAACCAUCAGAACACCUUCUUCAAGCAGUAGAUCUUCAAAUCAAGCACUGAUUCACAUUAAUGUAAAUGAAGAUGAUGAGGAGAAUCCCUGGGACAUGUUGGCAUCUCA